AAACCAUGGUGUGGGCAAUCUCUUUGGUAAUCUCUGAAUCUUUCCCAGGCAUCAUAGAGGUCUUCUGUGUCCUCCUGCUGAAAUUUUUGGAUCUUGUCAAUUAAGAGAUU
rfam:Eutrema salsugineum unplaced genomic scaffold scaffold_3, whole genome shotgun sequence.